UACGUAGGCAGCAAGCGUUGUUCGGAAUUACUGGGCGUAAAGCGUGUGUAGGCGGUGUUCUAAGUCUGGUGUGAAAUCUCCCGGCUCAACUGGGAGGGUGCGCUAGAAACUGGAAUGCUAGAGGAUGGGAGAGGUAAGCGGAAUUCCUGGUGUAGCGGUGAAAUGCGUAGAUAUCAGGAGGAACACCUGUGGUGUAGACAGCUUACUGGACCAUUUCUGACGCUGAGACACGAAAGCGUGGGUAGCAAACAGG
rnacentral:rRNA from 1 species